rnacentral:lncRNA from 1 species
GUGUUGUGGCUGCUUCUUCAAGACCCAGGGAACAGCAGAGCUGUCCUUACUUGCCAGCUGUGCGAAGAAGGCUGACUGAUGUUACGAAGAACAGAUACUGUAAAGGAGAGCACGCUAUAGGCCACAGAUAUCCCGAAUCAUUGAUGGCAAAAUGUGAUGUUUGAUGGCAGCUUCACUGGAUAGUAAACGAUUACCCCAGACUCCAGGGAUUGCACAAGUGAGGAUGGAUCUCGACAGGUUGCUUGAAAUGAUAAUGCUUUGCUGGAGACAGCCACCUGGCUUUUGAGGAGCUGGAUUAAGACUCCCAAAUCAACUCCUGCCAGCUGUGAAGGAGAAACAUCACUUGGAUAUGGUCUGUUCUCUUAUCUCUCCCCCUGCUCAUGAAUGGGGACUGACUGGGGACUGGUGCCUUAGAGGACAGGAUCUGCAUCUCCCAGGGUACUAGUCAUUGGGCUGGAAGAAGCAGAUGCUUCUAAAUCUAGCUGUCCAGCUUGCCAGAACAUGAUGCAUCUUACAGCAGACUAUGGCCUCUUACAUCCUGAGGAGGUGGCUGCCAAAGAAGCUAUACGAGCAGGAUAUAUAUCAAAACUUUCAGAACAGGUUUUGGGGCUGCCUUUCCCCCCGCCUCAAUCACUCCCCAAGUACAGCGGCUUUUGGUGUUGCUUAGCAAGCUGCUAUUUUCUGAGUAAUUCAAAGCAGGAAGUCCAGUGUAAUGGUGCAGCAAGAGGCAGGAAAUGCAGCUUGGCACCUGAGCGCUGAAGACUUUUCAAA